GACGGUGUAGCUCAAUGGUAGAGCCCUUGACUAGCAUACAGGAAGCCUUGGGUUCAAUUCCUAGUGCCUUAA
rnacentral:tRNA from 1 species